GGCGGGGCCUCGGGGUGGCGAGGGGGACCGGGCAGGGGGCGGGGCCUCGGGGUGGCGAGGGGGACCGGGCAGGGGGCGGGGCCUCGGGGUGGCGAGGGGGACCCGGGCAGGGGGCGGGGCCUCGGGGUGGCGAGGGGGACCGGGCAGGGGGCGGGGCCUCGGGGUGGCGAGGGGGACCGGGCAGGGGGCGGGGCCUCGGGGUGGCGAGGGGGACCGGGCAGGGGGCGGGGCCUCGGGGUGGCGAGGGGGACCCGGGCAGGGGGCGGGGCCUCGGGGUGGCGAGGGGGACCGGGCAGGGGGCGGGGCCUCGGGGUGGCGAGGGGGACCGGGCAGGGGGCGGGGCCUCGGGGUGGCGAGGGGGACCGGGCAGGGGGCGGGGCCUCGGGGUGGCGAGGGGGACCGGGCAGGGGGCGGGGCCUCGGGGUGGCGAGGGGGACCCGGGCAGGGGGCGGGGCCUCGGGGUGGCGAGGGGGACCGGGCAGGGGGCGGGGCCUCGGGGUGGCGAGGGGGACCGGGCAGGGGGCGGGGCCUCGGGGUGGCGAGGGGGUCCGGGACCGGGACCGGGACCGGGGCCGGGGCCGGGACCGGGACCGGGGCCGGGAGGAGGGGCGGGCUGCGGCGGGAGGAGGACGGGGUCCUGGAAGCCGGAAGCCGCCAGCCGCCAGCCGCCCCGCCUCGCGCCGGAAGUCCCGCUGGCGGCAAAGUUAACGGCAGUGGUUGGCGCGUCCGCGUCGGAGUCGCUGGUUCUCGAGGCUGCCGGCUGCGCGCCCCCUGCCCCCACCGAAGCUGACGUGCCCGAGCGGACCCGGGGAGCGUCCGCCGUCCCGGGGCGCUGUGGACGUGACUUCGGGGAGCUGGCUGUCCUGGUCCCAGCCUGCUCCGCCUCCCCGGUGACUGCGUCGGGGUGUGCAGAAUCAGCGGUGGGCCCGCUGGGAGAUGCGACGCCGGGAAGGAAGGCUCUGGGUGGCAGGCCAAACCCCGUGCCUCUGAAGUCGGAGUUUGCUUCCCAUCCAGUGGAAGGCGAGGGCCCUCCGGAUGAAGAAGUCUCAGUUUCAAAUUGUAAUCCUCUCCAGAAGGAAGUUUCACCAAAGCAGACAACUCUUUUUCUGAAAAUUCCACAUUUACAUUAUUCUUCUGAACAUUCUUGAUCAUAAGUGUAAUGAUUACUUGAGAUUCUGUUUGAUACCAGUCAUACUUGAUUUUUGACUGAUGAGUCCUUUAAGAAUCAGACACCUCAGGCUGUGAUCCAUUCUGAGCCUCUUGACACUUUUUGAUCCAGACAGUGAAAUCAGGAUCUGCACUAUGGAUUUCUAUGCCGUGAAGAUACACAGUGAAGCCAGGAAACAGCUCCUCGAAGUCUGAAUGAUUCGUACAAAAAUUUCCAAAGGCUCCAGCAACAAGCACUCCGUGGGGGUGAAACCCAAAUAUAUAGUUGUGACUUGGAUCCAAAUCCCAAGUUUUUGAUGACUAAUUGGAAAAUAGUCCUUAAAAUACCUCCAAACGGUCCAGCUUCUGACCCAGUUGGAUCUCCUGCCUCCCUGCUCUGGGUCCGCCAGUUCAGAAUCAAAAUGGUGAGUUAAACAUUGAAGACUACAAAAUAAUGCCAUCUUUGUGAAUAAAAAUAUGCAUAAAUUAUUUCUACUUAUUAUAGAUACACAUAUGUGAGAAAAUAUCACAAAUGAACAACUUAUGAUGAUUUAUACCAAUUCAUGACAAAAGGUUACUUUUGGGAAGGGAUGGUUAACUUUAUAAUAUUUUAUUUCUUGAAAUAAAAAGACUGGAAAUAAAUCAAAUGACGUGUAAAAUUUGUUGUAUUUGGGAGCUGUAUUUUAGUUAUUUUUUGUGCUUUUCUGUUUUUUAAAUUUUCUUAAAAUUAAAAAAUUGUCUUCUAGACCAUAAGAUCUUUAAGAGCAUACAAUGUUAUUACUAUAUUAUCGACUUUUCCCUAUGCUGUACUUUUUAUCUUUAUGUACCAUCUAUUGAUUUUUGACAAAGAUGACAAAAUAACGUAGAGAGGAAAAUUAAACCUUAAUAGUCAACAUAAUAAUAUUAUUGGCUCAAAGGAAUAUACUGACGUCAAGUCAAAAGGAAGACAGGAAAUGCUGACAUGCUGAGUCAAAGAUUAAGGUCAACAUUUCUGGAGAGCAUGACAGGAGCACAUUAGAAAGCACCAGUUAAGAUCUAGUCAAUCUUGCUUGUUAUUGUUGCCAUGUUUUAAGUGUGUGUUCCUGGUCUUGCUAGUGAGUACUUCUUG
rnacentral:lncRNA from 1 species